rnacentral:rRNA from 1 species
GCUCACUGGUCGAGUGAUCCUGCGCCGAAAAUUUCCGGGGCUAAAACGUACUACCGAAGCUACGGCAUCAUUUAUGAUGGGUAGGGGAGCUUCGUAUGCAGGCUGAAGCAUGACCGUAAGGACAUGUGGACAGUAUACGAGUGAGAAUGUUGGCAUGAGUAGCGAGACGUGGGUGAGAAUCCCACGGGCCGUAAACCCAAGGUUUCCAGGGGAAGGUUCGUCCGCCCUGGGUUAGUCGGGACCUAAGCCGAGGCCGAAAGGCGUAGGUGAUGGACAACAGGUUGAUAUUCCUGUACCGCCAAUAAGCGUUUGAGAGAUGGAGUGACACAGUAGGAUAAGCUAACCGUACUGUUGGUUAUGUACGGCUAAGCAUUGAGGCAGUCUAAAUAGGCAAAUCCGUUUAGACAAUGCUAGGAUGUGAUGGGGAAGCCCUUCGGGGCGAAGUAGCUGAUUUCACACUGUCAAGAAAAGCUUCUAUCGAGUUUAAAGGCGCCCGUACCGUAAACCGACACAGGUGGGUGAGAUGAAGAUUCUAAGGCGCGCGAGAGAACUCUCGUUAAGGAACUCGGCAAAUUAACCCCGUAACUUCGGAAUAAGGGGUGCCUGCUUCGGCAGGCCGCAGUGAAAGGGACCAACCGACUGUUUAUCAAAAACACAGCAUUGUGCCAAGACGAAAGUCCAAGUAUACGAUGUGACACGUGACCAAUGCGGAAAGAUUAAGGCAAGGGGUUAGCAGCAAGCGAAGCUCUGAACCCAAGUCCCCGUGAAUGUCGGCCGUAACUAUAACGGUCCUAAGGUAGCGAAAUUCCUUGUCGGGUAAGUUCCGACCUGCACGAAUCGUGAAACGAGUUGGGCGCUGUCUCAACCGGGUGCUCAGUGAAAUUGUAAUGGCGGUGAAGAUGCCGCCUGCCCGCAGAAGGACGGAAAGACCCUAUAGACCUUAACUGUAAGCUGUCAUUGGUUCUUCGAUUUUCAUGCUCAGCAUAAGUGGGAGGCUUUGAAGCCUUUCUUUAGGGAAAGGCCGAGUCGUCAAUGAGACACCACCCUUCGAAUAUGGGAAAUCUAACCCCGAGCCUUAUAUCAGGACGGGGAACACUGGCAGCCGGUCAGUUUUACUGGGGCGGUAUCCUCCCAAAAGGUAACGGAGGAGCGCGAUGGU